UAUCUCGCGGUAAUUAUUUCUUGUUAUAAAUAAGAGCAACUCGCCUGCGCUCAGCUCACUCCUUGUAUAUUUCUGGCGAAAUGUCUCAUAAAGUAUUGAUAUCAUUCAUGUUGCUACUUACACUUAACUUGUUUGUUGCCGGUCAAGAGAUGGGGUUGGAUAACAUUGCUGGGGAGCAAGGCGUCGCAGAAGGAGACGGUUACGAGUAUACCGUACCAGCGCAAUUCAUAAACGAUUUAAUAAUCGAACACGCACAGAACCAAUUAUCGAAUCAAGUUUAACUUUUACAAUAUUUUAUCAAUCUACUUCAAAAAAGGAGGAGGUUAUUAAUGCGACUGUAUUUUUUAUACGUAAAAAAUAAAUACAAUAUCUUGGUUGUACUACUUCUACAUUAGGCCUUUUGUUGUGAGGAACAUAUUCAAACUCAUGUUCUUUUGCAAAAUUAUUGAUUAAUUUAAGCAUUUUUCGCUCAGAUUCAGAUUAAAAAAUAACGAGACCCAGAAAAAUUAUAAAUUAUUUUAUAAUAUUAUUACUGUAGGUAAUUUCCCUGUUUUGCAUUAUUUGGAACAAAAUAGUAUAACAUGUAAUGAACCAACCAAAAUUGUGAUUUUUUUCUGUAGAAGUCUGUAGUCUAUAAGCAUGUAAGAAGGAAUUUAGUAAAAGUAAAAGUGCGACACCCAGUAUAGACAGCAGUAGAAAUGUAUUACACAAAGUAACGCGUGCGUCGCCGAGAUCUAAUUUAGGCUCCUUUUCUUCUUGGUAUGUAAAGCUAAAAUAAAAUAAAGGAAAUGAUUCCAUCUGUAAAU